UGAAAAUUAAACAGCUAAAGGGAAGGAGGGCAUUAAAAGACAUUAUCCUCAUAGUAUUCCACAGGAGGUUGCAAAUUUGCUUAUGAAGAUAAGUAAAUUAUGAAACAAAUACUUUUAGCUACUGCACAUUGGAUUAGCUGACCUUGUGUUGUACUCCCUUCUUGAUCUCCACAGUUAAUGACUGGUACCAGGGCUGUUCAAAGCAACUUUCAACAAAGAUGGAAAAUUCUGCAUGUGCCCUGUUCGGUAUUUUAGCCAUUGCUACAUGAAGCUGUUGAAGCUUGAAAUGUGGCGAAUUGGGUGGGAGAACUAAUUUUUAAUUUUACUUAAUUUUAAUUAAUUUAAAAUCAACUACUUACACUUGAUUAAUGACUACUGUAUUCAACAGCACAGAUCUACAGUGAAUGGCCAUAUUCAUCAUUGGACUGGAGCAGAGGAUGGUUUCUAAGACAGCAUAGUGACCCAAAAUAAUAUACGCCUGCAAAAAGGAAUCAUAGGUAGAGAGACUGUAAUUUUUAAUAUUGAGUUUUUAUUUCCCAUGACUUGGAAUUUAACAUACCUUUUCGAUGUCUUUGUGUGUCCUUUCACCAGAACUGAAAACGGAAUUCAGUUGCAUUGCACUUAACAGUCUUUCAUCUUUCUGUGAUUCUGUCUCCUUAUAGGUAAAAUGAAGUGUUUGGACUUCAUUUCUCUUCCAGCUGCAGAGAUUAGGAGCAAGUUUGAAUGGGCUGCUGGGAAGAACAUACCUGUAGGAUGUUUCUUUGCACAUAAAGGAGCUGCAGUGGUAGAAAUGUAGAUUCGUGACGUGGCCUCCUGGAGUCUGUUGAAGAAGAGUAAUUCUGAAAAUUCUCUCUGGUCCGCCUGGCUCCCCUGGUGCUGUUCACCCUGAUGAAGACGAAGAUUGCACCAGCGCCACCUUCUGGGAAAAAUAGAAAUAGCAGCAAAGAAGCCCUAUUUAAAGACUGCCAACUCUAUUUCACUCUCCAAG
rnacentral:lncRNA from 1 species